GCGAGCGCCUCCUGAACUAUCGGGCACCAUAGGGGAAACUCUAUGAGUGAAUGUGGUUAAAUUCGGUGAACCCUAAAAAGUCAGGAAACCCCAAAAGGAAAAACUAUUUGUCUGAAGCUAUUUGUCUAGUUCAGGCAGUAGUCAGGCUUUAUGGGAAUACCGAGCCAAGCCGAAGAAAUGGUCAUUUGUUAUUCGUCAUUGGUCAAAAGUGAACAACAAAGGCAAUUGACAAAAGACACUUGACAAAUUCGGAAGGUGUAGAGACUAGAUAGCCACCACCUAAGGGCUUAAAGCCUAUGGUGAAGGUAUAGUCCAGAGAGUGGGGAAACUCACAC
rnacentral:ncRNA from 1 species